UACGAAGGUCGCUAGCGUUGCUCGGAAUCACUGGGCGUAAAGGGCACGUAGGCGGUCUCUUAAGUUGGGGGUGAAAUCCUGGAGCUCAACUCCAGAACUGCCUUCGAUACUGGGAGUCUUGAGUUCGGGAGAGGUGAGUGGAACUGCGAGUGUAGAGGUGAAAUUCGUAGAUAUUCGCAAGAACACCAGUGGCGAAGGCGGCGCACUGGCCCGGUAUUGACGCUGAGGUGCGAAAGCGUGGGGAGCAAACAGG
rnacentral:rRNA from 1 species